ACGUAGGGGGCAAGCGUUAUCCGGAUUUACUGGGUGUAAAGGGAGCGUAGACGGCAUGGCAAGCCAGAUGUGAAAGCCCGGGGCUCAACCCCGGGACUGCAUUUGGAACUGCCAGGCUAGAGUGUCGGAGAGGAAAGCGGAAUUCCUAGUGUAGCGGUGAAAUGCGUAGAUAUUAGGAGGAACACCAGUGGCGAAGGCGGCUUUCUGGACGAUGACUGACGUUGAGGCUCGAAAGCGUGGGGAGCAAACAG
rnacentral:rRNA from 1 species